UUGACAGAUUGACAGCUUUUUCUUAAUUCUAGUGGAUUGUGGUGCAUGGCCGUUCUUAGUUGGUGGAGUGAUUUGUCUGGUUAAUUCCGUUAACGAACGAGACUAUUAACUGUUAAUUCGCAUAAUAAUUUAAUUAAUUAUUUGUCUUCUUAGAGAGACUAGAUUUCCAUAAAAAGCUGGAAAUUGGUAGCAAUAACAGGUCUGUGAUGCUCUUAGACGUUCUGGGCAGCGCACGGGCUACAAUAGGAGAACUACUAUGCUUACUAUUUCGUUUCGAAAAGAGAUGAGAAAUCAUUAAACUUACUUAUAGUUGGGCUUACACAUUGAAAUUAUUAUGUAUCAACUAGGAAUGUCUAGUAAAUUUGGGUCAUUAAUAUUGUUUGAAUGCGUCCCUGCCCCUUUGUAA
rnacentral:rRNA from 1 species